UACGAAGGGUGCAAACGUUGCUCGGAAUUAUUGGGCGUAAAGCGCACGUAGGCGGCAUUGCAAGUCGGAUGUGAAAUCUUAUGGCUUAACCAUAAAAGUGCAUCCGAAACUGCAGUGCUUGAGUACUUAAGAGGAUCGCGGAAUUCCCGGUGUAGAGGUGAAAUUCGUAGAUAUCGGGAGGAACACCCGUGGCGAAGGCGGCUCUCUGGGACGGUACUGACGCUGAGACGCGAAAGCGUGGGGAGCGAACAGG
rnacentral:rRNA from 1 species